UGGACCGUAUCACCUCGGAUGUGCCCAAUAUCAUUGGAUCUCGGAGAUUAAGCAGGUUUAAGCCUGGUUAGUACUUGGAUGGGAGACUUAACUAGGAACACCAGGCUUGGUCUGU
rnacentral:rRNA from 1 species